AGGAGUGAUGUGCCACUACAACAUGGUGAGGCUGAUGCUAAUCCCCAACGAGGAGACUGUAGAGUACGGAGCCACCAAACACCGGGGAGCAGCAACAAACACCGCCAGACCAGAAACCAUGGAUUUCAGCAGGGCAGUUCUCCAGAGAGGUAUUGGCUUUGUGCAGUCUUACCUGAACUGCCUGAUGAAACCCCCAGGGCCACAGGAAUCAUUCGAAGCCAGUUUCAAGACCCUGUAGUUACUAGAACAGUUUGUCUAAAUUCAGUACAAAGACUCAGCACUGUUUAAGGGGUGUCUCUCCCACAGGCACCAAUGCUAUGGCAGCUGUGUCUGGUCUGCUUAGUUCACUGACAAUAUAUGGACAAAAAAUCGGAGGGAGUGGAAUGCUCGCUUCCAUCCUUGAAAUAACCUUUGGAGCGGGUUUGUUGUUUGUGACCACCAUUAUUUCCUUGACGUAGCCAUACUCACUGAUUACCCAACUCUUAGUCGACUGAAAAUGUCUCAACUACAGUUGCUGCGUGUGUUUUUAAAUGAGCGUUUAAUGGCUACUGCUGUCAAGAUUUUCGGGGCAGUUGAGAAACCUAUGGCGGAGUACCAAGAGAAUGAUAGGCUACAGAGACUGCUGCGGAAAACACAGGAGACUUCCUGCAGCUCUCUCCUGCUGUCUCUGAAGAGGUUCUCCCUGGGCACUGUGAGCAGGAGCAGAGCCUUAGUCUAAGACAGGAGAACACUGAGCCCACACAGAUUAAAGAGGAGGAAGUCGGGACCAGUCAGGAGAAAGAACCGCUUCAAGAACUCUUUGAUACCAAAGAAUCCAUAUUCGCUCCUCCCUGUGUGACAAGUGAAUGUGAUGAUGAGGACCCACUUCAGUCCUUGAUUCUUCCUCAAAUCCAGACUGUGGAGAACAGUGUGACCCUAAACAASUGAAUCUCACACCUUUUGGCACUGUGACUCCGCUUAAGGCUCUCAACAUUCCAUGUGACCCUCCAAAUAAU